CUAAACCAUUUUGUGUUUACAGGAACAAAGAAAAUAAGUAUUAUUGUGACAGCACAGAUUCAAGCACCCAGUACCACUUGCAUCUUAAGGACAGCAACGUCAAAUACGACAACUUCGGCAACCAUGAGAAGAACGCAAGCAACAAUGUGACUCCCAUGUAGCUGGAGAGAGAGAGAAAAGAGAACUCAAGAGUUUCAUGUUUACUGGCAGACGAGGUCGGAGGUCACACACAAACACAAGCUAGACCCUAACAGUGGCAUGAUUCUCAAUAAUAAUACAUGUCAUUUAGCAGAUUCGUGCAUACAACUAAAKAACUUUUCUUUUGCAAAUGGGUGGCCCCAGGAAUCAAACCCACUGUCCUGGCAUUGUAAGAGCCAUGCUCUACCAACUGAUCUACAGAGGACCACUCUGUCAAUCCAAUAAAAUGCGGACAAGUUUACUUUAAAAUGCAUUUUAAAAUGCACACAAAUUCAUAACAGUCCGUAACGUCAAUGUUAAAUAUCUGUCCCGAUAUUAUUUGUAGAAUUUGUGAAUAUUGUCAUUAUAUUACCUGCUUUUAUUAACGUAUUCAUGCUUUUGUUGUUGUAAUUUGAUAAUGUGUGAAAUAUUACAUGUCAGAAAAGAUCCAAGGAAAAGUGAAAUUAUUAAAUGCCUCAAGUGCC